rnacentral:lncRNA from 1 species
CCUGAGGACGAUUGCCUGCCCAAAAUCAGAGAUUCACGCUCUUCGUGUGGCGACAAUGGUUUGCUGGUUCGGUGCUUGGCGUUUUCUUAUCGUGAGGCGGGAGGUUUGAACGUUUGUUAUACACGGCACAUCAAGCCACCAGUCACUUGUACUUUUGCUUCUCCGCAAAUACGUCUCUUGUUUCAAAUCUAUGGAAAACGACAUGCGUUGUUCUUUGCUCGAGGUCGACCUUUCCACGUUUCCACAUUUCAAGGUUCGUGCUGCGUUGUCGGAAUCAAGAACUUCAAAGCUUCUCGUGUUGUUGCAGUCACUGUGUCACUCAGCAGAUUUAGGAAGAAUGCAUCUGUAGUAUGAGAACAUAAGUUGUCCUUUCGGACGUAACAGCAUUAGAGUUAUGGUGAACCACCCUACUUUCGUCUUCGCAGGGGGAGCACUUCUCUGUCGCUGCAUCGCGAGUUGCCGCCGGCGGUGUUGAACAACUUCGGAGCUGGCCCUCCAGUACUUCUUUCCGUUUCUCCAGAUAUUUUUCACAGCUCUCCUUGCGCUUCAAGCGAUAAUGGCUCUGCUCAUAUCUCUGCCUUAAGGAUGCCAUUUCGUGUUUGAGUUCGUAAAGUUCUUCACGCAUCUUCAACCUGGCGAGGCUUUCGCGUCGAAUCUUGAGAGCUAGCAUGCAACAUGCACUAUCCGAUUUCACUUUCGUUUCAUUUUGCUGCUGCUGCGCCAAACGAUGGUGCUCUUCCCUGUGAUAUUCUAGCAUUUCGUGAUGUACUUGUUGUCGUCGUUGGACGUUGUCCAUAUCAUUCUGUUGUCUCGCGACUUGUCGACGAAUAUCCGUGAUUGCUUGCCUUUGCUCUUCCAGUUCCUCUCCAAGUCCGCAAAGGAUCCUCUCGGCUUGUUCAUGCUCCCACAGCGCUCCUGGAAGAAUUAACAAAGUUCCAUUGGAUGUGGUGCGGCAUUACCUGCAUGCUCUCUUGUUACCUGUGGACAGAUGUUUCUCUGUUCAUAUAGUUACGCUUACCUUUUAGUGAAUGUUUCUCGGCAACCGGCAGUUCCUCGUUUGCUUCUCUAUUUGUACAGCAUCCCUUGAUAAUAUGCUGUUCCGGCUUUUCUACGGGCAGGCUCUGUGCUGUGCACAAACUCCGAUCGUCAAGUGCUGAAAGCAUUCUUCUUCUGAGUCCCGUGAGCCGACUUCGUUGCCGUGGAGGGGGGAGAAGGCGCCGCCCCAAUGCAGGGAAACGCACGUUUCGUUCAGGGGCACGCAAAUAAAUGGGCCGUUGUAGUGCAAGCAGUCGCUUUCCAGUUGUGGGAUUGCGAAGUCGAGGAGAUAAAUGUAUGCGUGUCGGUGUCGGAGGCACUUUCGUUUGUUUGGAAUAUGGCAUAUGCCGUUCUAAUACAGAGAGGCGCAGCGCCUCGAACGCUCUCAGCUGAAAAAGGAACGGAUAGAACCGCAGCGCUGAACACCCUCGUCAGUGGCCCGGGGCAUUCCUGAUUUACAUGAUGGUGCGGUGUCACCUCACCCAAACAAAAUUUCUCUUCCUUAGGCUAAACGGCAAAGCGCAUUCGAUCGCCACUGCAUCCAUCAUUGUUGAAACAGUAUGUUGCUUUAUUUCUGUUGUCAUCCUUCCCUUAUCUAUACCAACCCUCCCCCCGAUUCAGGCUCUGUUACUCCUCGAUAUUUUCCAUGUAUUACCGAAUUAUCUACCAUUUUAACACCGUACUGAAACAACAAGCGAAAGCCGUAUGCCAAGCAGGCGCCCCCACAGCUGACGUGUACUGUCAUUCCUUCACACACAAAAAUAUUUGCACCUCAACCGUAACAGCUGUGAACAAUGGCACUGGAUUGGUAUUUACGUCGAAGCCGGGACUUACGAUUUCGGCCUUCCAUUG